rnacentral:rRNA from 1 species
GAUGAACGCUGGCGGUAUGCUUAACACAUGCAAGUCGAACGGACUCUUCGGAGUUAGUGGCGGACGGGUGAGUAACGCGUGAGAAUCUGGCUUUGGGUUCGGGACAACCACUGGAAACGGUGGCUAAUACCGGAUGUGCCGAGAGGUAAAAGAGAAAUUGCCUGAAGAUGAGCUCGCGUCUGAUUAGCUAGUUGGUGAGGUAAAGGCUCACCAAGGCAGCGAUCAGUAGCUGGUCUGAGAGGAUGACCAGCCACACUGGGACUGAGACACGGCCCAGACUCCUACGGGAGGCAGCAGUGGGGAAUUUUCCGCAAUGGGCGAAAGCCUGACGGAGCAAUACCGCGCGAGGGAAGAAGGCUCUUGGGUUGUAAACCUCUUUUCUUAGGGAAGAACAAAAUGACGGUACCUAAGUAAUCAGCAUCGGCUAACUCCGUG